rnacentral:rRNA from 1 species
GUGCCAGCCGCCGCGGUAAUACGUAGGGUGCGAGCGUUGUCCGGAAUUACUGGGCGUAAAGGGCGCGUAGGCGGUUCGUUAAGUCCUGUGUGAAAUCCCUCGGCUUAACCCGGGAACUGCGUCCGAUACUGGAAGGCUUGAAUCCGGGAGAGGGAUGCGGAAUUCCAGGUGUAGCGGUGAAAUGCGUAGAUAUCUGGAGGAACACCGGUGGCGAAGGCGGCAUCCUGGACCGGCAUUGACGCUGAGGCGCGAAAGCCAGGGGAGCAAACGGGAUUAGAUACCCGGGUAGUCC